rnacentral:rRNA from 1 species
AGAGUUUGAUCCUGGCUCAGAUUGAACGCUGGCGGCAUGCCUUACACAUGCAAGUCGAACGGCAGCGGACCUUCGGGUGCCGGCGAGUGGCGAACGGGUGAGUAAAGUAUCGGAACGUACCUUUCAGUGGGGGAUAACGUAGCGAAAGUUACGCUAAUACCGCAUAUUCUCUGAGGAGGAAAGCAGGGGACCUUCGGGCCUUGCGCUGAUGGAGCGGCCGAUAUCAGAUUAGCUAGUUGGUGGGGUAAAGGCCUACCAAGGCGACGAUCUGUAGCGGGUCUGAGAGGAUGAUCCGCCACACUGGGACUGAAACACGGCCCAGACUCCUACGGGAGGCAGCAGUGGGGAAUUUUGGACAAUGGGCGAAAGCCUGAUCCAGCCAUGCCGCGUGAGUGAAGAAGGCCUUCGGGUUGUAAAGCUCUUUCGGCCGGGAAGAAAUCGUGUGGGCUAAUACCCUGCAUGGAUGACGGUACCGGAAUAAGAAGCACCGGCUAACUACGUGCCAGCAGCCGCGGUAAUACGUAGGGUGCGAGCGUUAAUCGGAAUUACUGGGCGUAAAGCGUGCGCAGGCGGUUUGGUAAGACAGGCGUGAAAUCCCCGGGCUCAACCUGGGAACUGCGCUUGUGACUGCCUCACUAGAGUACGGCAGAGGGGGGUGGAAUUCCACGUGUAGCAGUGAAAUGCGUAGAGAUGUGGAGGAACACCGAUGGCGAAGGCAGCCCCCUGGGCCGAUACUGACGCUCAUGCACGAAAGCGUGGGUAGCAAACAGGAUUAGAUACCCCUGGUAGUCCACGCCCUAAACGAUGUCAACU